rnacentral:rRNA from 1 species
UGNGUNGGCAUAGAGCCUNCGNUUUUGUCCACCGUAGGGUGGUGGACGAAUAAGGGCUGGGCAAGACCGGUGCCAGCCGCCGCGGUAAUACCGGCAGCCCGAGUGAUGGCCGAUCUUAUUGGGCCUAAAGCGUCCGUAGCUGGCCGCACAAGUCCAUCGGGAAAUCCACCUGCUCAACAGGUGGGCGUCCGGUGGAAACUGUGUGGCUUGGGACCGGAAGGCGCGACGGGUACGUCCGGGGUAGGAGUGAAAUCCCGUAAUCCUGGACGGACCGCCGAUGGCGAAAGCACGUCGCGAAAACGGAUCCGACAGUGAGGGACGAAAGCUAGGGUCUCGAACCGGAUU